rnacentral:rRNA from 1 species
GUAGAUCAUCCGCCCUCAGGUCCGGGAUAGCUGCGGGAAACUGCAGGUAAUACCGGAUAACAUCUCCGGAUCAAAGGUGUGAUUCCGCCUGAGGAUGAGUCUGCAUCCUAUUAGCUAGUUGGUAGGGUAACGGCCUACCAAGGCUUUGAUGGGUAGCGGGUGUGAGAGCACGACCCGCGUCAUUGGGACUGAGACACUGCCCAGACACCUACGGGUGGCUGCAGUCGAGAAUCUUCGGCAAUGGGCGCAAGCCUGACCGAGCGACGCCGCGUGUGGGAUGAAGGCCUUCGGGUUGUAAACCACUGUCAGAGGGGAUGAAAUGCAGGUGGGUUCUCCCAUCUGUUUGACAUAGCCUCAGAGGAAGGACGGGCUAAGUUCGUGCCAGCAGCCGCGGUAAGACGAACCGUCCGAACGUUAUUCGGAAUCACUGGGCUUAAAGGGUGCGUAGGCGGCGCGGAAAGUUGGGUGUGAAAUCCCUCGGCUCAACCGAGGAACUGCGCCCAAAACUGCCGUGCUC